rnacentral:rRNA from 1 species
AGUCGAACGAGCGAGAGAGAGCUUGCUUUCUCGAGCGAGUGGCGAACGGGUGAGUAACGCGUGAGGAACCUGCCUCAAAGAGGGGGACAACAGUUGGAAACGACUGCUAAUACCGCAUAAGCCCACGGCUCGGCAUCGAGCAGAGGGAAAAGGAGCAAUCCGCUUUGAGAUGGCCUCGCGUCCGAUUAGCUAGUUGGUGAGGUAACGGCCCACCAAGGCGACGAUCGGUAGCCGGACUGAGAGGUUGAACGGCCACAUUGGAACUGAGACACGGCCCAGACUCCUACGGGAGGCAGCAGUGGGGAAUAUUGCACAAUGGGGGAAACCCUGAUGCAGCGACGCCGCGUGGAGGAAGAAGGUCUUCGGAUUGUAAACUCCUGUUGUUGGGGAAGAUAAUGACGGUACCCAACAAGGAAGUGACGGCUAACUACGUGCCAGCAGCCGCGGUAAAACGUAGGUCACAAGCGUUGUCCGGAAUUACUGGGUGUAAAGGGAGCG